UACGGGAGGCAGCAGCUAAGAAUAUUCCGCAAUGGGGGGAACCCUGACGGAGCGACGCCGCGUGGACGAUGAAGGCCGGAAGGUUGUAAAGUCCUUUUCUGACGGAGGAAGAAGCGCGGGAGGGAAUGCCUGCGCGGUGACUGUAGGUCAGGAAUAAGCACCGGCUAAUUACGUGCCAGCAGCCGCGGUAAU
rnacentral:rRNA from 1 species